CCUACGGUGGGCAGCAGUGGGGAAUAUUGGGCAAUGGGCGCAAGCCUGACCCAGCAACGCCGCGUGAAGGAAGAAGGCCCUCGGGUUGUAAACUUCUUUUAACAGGGACGACGAAAGUGACGGUACCUGUUGAAUAAGCCACGGCCAACUACGUGCCAGCAGCCGCGGUAAUACGUAGGUGGCAAGCGUUAUCCGGAUGUACUGGGUGUAAAGGGCGUGUAGGCGGGAGAGCAAGUCAGACGUGAAAUUCCAGGGCUCAACCCUGGAACUGCGUUUGAAACUGUUCUUCUUGAGUGAUGGAGAGGCAGGCGGAAUUCCGUGUGUAGCGGUGAAAUGCGUAGAUAUGACGAAGAACCCCGAUUGCGAAGGCAGCUUGCUGCAGCGGAACUGACGCUGAUGCUCGAAAGCGCGGGUAUCGAACAGGAUUAGAUACCCCUGUAGUC
rnacentral:rRNA from 1 species